UACGUAGGGUGCGAGCGUUGUCCGGAUUUAUUGGGCGUAAAGAGCUCGUAGGCGGUUUGUCGCGUCGGCCGUGAAAUCUCCACGCUUAACGUGGAGCGUGCGGUCGAUACGGGCAGACCUUGAGUUCGGUAGGGGAGACUGGAAUUCCUGGUGUAGCGGUGAAAUGCGCAGAUAUCAGGGGGAACACCGGGUGGCGAAGGCGGGUCUCUGGGCCGAUACUGGACGCUGAGG
rnacentral:rRNA from 1 species